GUCGUGACUGCGUGCCUUUUGAAGAAUGAGCCUGCGAGUUAGCGGUGUGUAGCGAGGUUAACCCGUGUGGGGAAGCCGUAGCGAAAGCGAGUCCGAAUAGGGCGAUUGAGUUGCACGCUCUAGACCCGAAGCGGAGUGAUCUAGCCAUGGGCAGGUUGAAGCGGAGGUAAGACUUCGUGGAGGACCGAACCCACCAGGGUUGAAAACCUGGGGGAUGACCUGUGGUUAGGGGUGAAAGGCCAAUCAAACUCCGUGAUAGCUGGUUCUCCCCGAAAUGCAUUUAGGUGCAGCGUCGUGUGUUUCUUGCCGGAGGUAGAGCACUGGAUAGGCGAUGGGCCCUACCGGGUUACUGACCUUAGCCAAACUCCGAAUGCCGGUAAGUGAGAGCACGGCAGUGAGACUGUGGGGGAUAAGCUCCAUGGUCGAGAGGGAAACAGCCCAGAGCAUCGACUAAGGCCCCUAAGCGUACGCUAAGUGGGAAAGGAUGUGGAGUCGCAGAGACAACCAGGAGGUUGGCUUAGAAGCAGCCACCCUUGAAAGAGUGCGUAAUAGCUCACUGGUCAAGUGAUUCCGCGCCGACAAUGUAGCGGGGCUCAAGCGUACCGCCGAAGUCGUGUCAUUGCAGCAAUAGGGCCAACGCCCGCUGUGAUGGGUAGGGGAGCGUCGUGUGCCGGGUGAAGCAGCAGCGGAAGCUAGUUGUGGACGGUUCACGAGUGAGAAUGCAGGCAUGAGUAGCGAUACACACGUGAGAAACGUGUGCGCCGAUUGACUAAGGGUUCCUGGGUCAAGCUGAUCUGCCCAGGGUAAGUCGGGACCUAAGGCGAGGCCGACAGGCGUAGUCGAUGGACAACCGGUUGAUAUUCCGGUACCCGCUUUGAAACGCCCAAUAUCGAAUCAGGCGAUGCUAAGUCCGUGAAGCCGUUCCGGACCCUUCGGGGAAAGGAAAGUGGUGGAGCCGACGAACCAGACUUGUAGUAGGUAAGCGAUGGGGUGACGCAGGAAGGUAGUCCAGCCCGGGCGGUGGUUGUCCCGGGGUAAGGGUGUAGGCCGAGGGGUAGGCAAAUCCGUCCCUCAUAUAAGGCUGAGACCUGAUGCCGAGCCGAUUGUGGUGAAGUGGAUGAUCCUAUGCUGUCGAGAAAAGCCUCUAGCGAGUUUCAUGGCGGCCCGUACCCUAAACCGACUCAGGUGGUCAGGUAGAGAAUACCGAGGCGUUCGGGUGAACUAUGGUUAAGGAACUCGGCAAAAUGCCCCCGUAACUUCGGGAGAAGGGGGGCCAUCACUGGUGAUCGGACUUGCUCCGUGAGCUGGGGGUGGCCGCAGAGACCAGCGAGAAGCGACUGUUUACUAAAAACACAGGUCCGUGCGAAGCCGUAAGGCGAUGUAUACGGACUGACGCCUGCCCGGUGCUGGAACGUUAAGGGGACCGGUUAGUGACCUUUCGGGGUUGCGAAGCUGAGAACUUAAGCGCCAGUAAACGGCGGUGGUAACUAUAACCAUCCUAAGGUAGCGAAAUUCCUUGUCGGGUAAGUUCCGACCUGCACGAAUGGCGUAACGACUUCUCGACUGUCUCAACCAUAGGCCCGGUGAAAUUGCACUACGAGUAAAGAUGCUCGUUUCGCGCAGCAGGACGGAAAGACCCCGGGACCUUUACUACAGUUUGAUAUUGGUGUUCGGUUCGGCUUGUGUAGGAUAGGUGGGAGACUUUGAAGCCGUGACGCCAGUCAUGGUGGAGUCGCCGUUGAAAUACCACUCUGGUCGUGCUGGAUGUCUAACCUCGGUCCGUGAUCCGGAUCAGGGACAGUGUCUGAUGGGUAGUUUAACUGGGGCGGUUGCCUCCCAAAGGGUAACGGAGGCGCCCAAAGGUUCCCUCAGCCUGGUUGGCAAUCAGGUGUUGAGUGUAAGUGCACAAGGGAGCUUGACUGUGAGACCGACGGGUCGAGCAGGGACGAAAGUCGGGACUAGUGAUCCGGCGGUGGCUUGUGGAAGCGCCGUCGCUCAACGGAUAAAAGGUACCCCGGGGAUAACAGGCUGAUCUUCCCCAAGAGUCCAUAUCGACGGGAUGGUUUGGCACCUCGAUGUCGGCUCGUCGCAUCCUGGGGCUGGAGUCGGUCCCAAGGGUUGGGCUGUUCGCCCAUUAAAGCGGUACGCGAGCUGGGUUUAGAACGUCGUGAGACAGUUCGGUCCCUAUCCGCUGUGCGCGUAGGAAUAUUGAGAAGGGCUGUCCCUAGUACGAGAGGACCGGGACGGACGAACCUCUGGUGUGCCAGUUGUCCUGCCAAGGGCAUGGCUGGUUGGCUACGUUCGGGAGGGAUAACCGCUGAAAGCAUCUAAGCGGGAAGCCUGCUUCAAGAUGAGUAUUCCCACCUCCUUGAGAGGGUAAGGCUCCCAGUAGACGACUGGGUUGAUAGGCCAGAUGUGGAAGCCCGGUAACGGGUGGAGCUGACUGGUACUAAUAGGCCGAGGGCUUGUCCUC
rnacentral:rRNA from 1 species